CCCUGAUGCACAAGGUACCUUAAUGAACUUUUACAAUUUUAUUUUUUAAAAUUUUUUCAAAAAACCUUCACAGUUAAAAAUUAAAUUUUUCUUUAUAUAAUACAAAAAUUUAUAAUAAAAUUUUUAAAAAAUUCCUUUCUAAAAAUUAAAUAAUUUUUAAAAAU
rnacentral:rRNA from 1 species